UAACCGGAUUAGAUACCCUGGUAGUCCACGCCGUAAACGAUGUCGACUUGGAGGUUGUGCCCUUGAGGCGUGGCUUCCGGAGCUAACGCGUUAAGUCGACCGCCUGGGGAGUACGGCCGCAAGGUUAAAACUCAAAUGAAUUGACGGGGGCCCGCACAAGCGGUGGAGCAUGUGGUUUAAUUCGAUGCAACGCGAAGAACCUUACCUGGUCUUGACAUCCACGGAAGUUUUCAGAGAUGAGAAUGUGCCUUCGGGAACCGUGAGACAGGUGCUGCAUGGCUGUCGUCAGCUCGUGUUGUGAAAUGUUGGGUUAAGUCCCGCAACGAGCGCAACCCUUAUCCUUUGUUGCCAGCGGUCCGGCCGGGAACUCAAAGGAGACUGCCAGUGAUAAACUGGAGGAAGGUGGGGAUGACGUA
rnacentral:rRNA from 1 species